GAUGAAGAACGCAGCGAAAUGCGAUACGUAAUGUGAAUUGCAAAUUCAGUGAAUCAUCGAGUCUUUGAACGCACAUUGCGCCCCCUGGUAUUCCGGGGGGCAUGCCUGUCCGAGCGUCAUUGCUGCCCUCAAGCACGGCUUGUGUGUUGGGCCCCGUCCUCCGAUUCCGGGGGACGGGCCCGAAAGGCAGCGGCGGCACCGCGUCCGGUCCUCGAGCGUAUGGGGCUUUGUCACCCGCUCUGUAGGCCCGGCCGGCGCUUGCCGAUCAACCCAAAUUUUUAUCCAGGUUGACCUCGGAUCAGGUAGGGAUACCCGCUGAACUUAAGCAUAUCAAUAAGCGGAGG
rnacentral:misc_RNA from 1 species